CCUGGUUGAUCCUGUCAGUAGUCAUAUUCGUGUCUCAAAUAUUAAGCCAUGCAUGUCUAAGUAUGAACUAAUUCAGACUGUGAAAUGGUGGAUGGCUCAUUAAAUCAUUUAUAGUUUUUUGAUGGUACCCUACUAAGAUAACCAUAGUAAUUCUAGAGCUAAUACGUGCACCAAGUCCAGACUCUUUGGAAGGGAUGCAUUUUCUAGAUAAAAGGUCAGUGUGGGCUUGCCCACUUCUCUGGUGAAUCAUGAUAACUCGAUGGAUCACACAACCUUUGUGCUGGCGAUGCUUCAUUCAAAUUUCUGCCCUAUCAACUUUUGAUGGUAGGAUAGAGGCCUACAAUGGUGGUGAAGGGUGAUGGAGAAUGAGGGUUCGAUUCCAGAGAGGGAGCCUAAGAAAUGGCUACCACAUCCAAGGAAGGAAUCAGGCGUGCAAAUUACCCAAUCUUGACAUGGGGAGGUAGUGACAAUAAAUAACAAUACUGGGCUCAUCAAGUCUAGUAAUUGGAAUGAGUACAAUCUAAAUCCCUUAACGAGGAUCCAUUGGAGGACAAUUGUGGUGCUAGCAGCCGUGGUAAUUCAAGCUCCAAUAACGUAUAUUUAAGUUGUUGUAGUUAAAAAUAUCGUAGUUGGAUCUUAGGUCAUAAAGGUCGGUCCUCCUACUUGGUGUGCACCUGACCUUCCAUCCCUUUUGUCAGCAGCAUGCUCCUAGCUUUAAUUGGUUGGGUCAUAGGUCCAGCACUAUUACUUUGAAAAAAUUAGAGUGCUCAAAGAAAUCAUAUUCUCUAAAUACAUUAGCAUGGAAUAACAUGAUAGGAGUCUGGUCCUAUUGUGUUGCCCUUUGAGACCAGAGUAAUGAUUAAUAGGGACUGUCGGGGGAUUCAUAUUUCAUUGUCAGAGGUGAAAUUCUUGGAUAUAUGAAAGACAGACCACUGCGAAAGAAUUUUCCAAGGAUGUUUUCAUUAAUCAAGAACAAAAGUUGGGGGCUCAAAGAUGACUAGAUACCAUCCUAGUGUUAACCAUAAACGAUGCCGACCAAGGAUCGGUGGAUGUUUUCUCUAAGGACUCUACCAACACCUUUUGAGAAAUCAGAGUGUUUGGGUUCUAGGGGAGGUUUGGUCGCAAGGAUGAAACUUAAAGAAAUUGAUGGAAGGGCACCACUAGGAGUGGAGCUUGUGGCUUAAUUUGACUCAACACGAAGAAACUUACCAUGUCCAGACAUAAUAAGGAUUGAUAGAUUGGGAGCUCUUUCUUGAUUCUAUGGGUGGUGGUGCAUGGUCGUUCUUAGUUGGUGGAGUUAUUUGUCUGGUUAAUUUCGAUAACAAAUGAGACUUCAAUGUGCUAACUAGCUACGUGGAGGUUCCCCUUCAUGGCCAGAUUAUUAGAUGGACUAUGGUUGUUUAGACCAUGGAAAUUUGAGGCAAUAACAGGCCUGUGAUGCCCUUAGAUGUUUUGGGAUGCAUGCGCGCUACACUGAUGUAGCCAAUGAGUUUUUCUUCUUAGUUUGAGAGGAUUGGAAAAUCUUUUCAAAUUGCAUCAUGAUGGGGAUGGACCAUUCCAAUUAUUGGUAUUCAAUGAGGAAUUCCUAGUAAGCGUGUGUCAUCUACUCGUGUUGACUACGUCCCUACCCUUUGUACACACCACCCGUCGCUCCUACAGAUUGAAUGAUUUGGUGAAGUGUUUGGAUUGCAUCGAUGAUGGUGGUUUGCUGCCAUCAUUGUCAUGAGAAGUUCAUUAAACCUUAUCAUUUAGAGGAAGGAGAAUUUGUAACAAGGUUACUGUAGGUGAACCUACGGUAG
rnacentral:rRNA from 1 species